rnacentral:piRNA from 1 species
UCCUCCUUGUGUAAUCGGUUU